rnacentral:tRNA from 1 species
UGGAGUGUGGCUCAGUGGUAGAGCACUUGCCUAGCAUGUGCAAGGCCCUGGGUUCAACCCCCAGCACUUAAC